AUCAAAUAAAAAAUAAAUUGAACUCUGUUCAUAUACAACUUCAUGACUUGGAACCCCUGCAAAGAUGCUAUCAGGUACAAUAACAGACACUUGUUCUUGCUCACAGAUACUUGUUCGUUCUCCCAAUGAAGUUGCAUGCAAAUAAAGACUUAAAGCAACAUAAAAGCCGAGCCCUUUUAACCCAUUUGAAAUAAGCUGUAGAAGCUGCUGAAGUAUGAGACAUACAGAGACCUGCCAUAGCCAAGCAAAAUGUCGUUUAACCCAUCUCACCCAUUGGCCGGAUGAUCUGCAGCAGAAAAUGGCGCAAGGACUGGCACACGAUGACGUUGUGGCAUAUAAAGCCAAACACUGAACUUGAAGUCAGCAAAAGCAAAUUGGAAAAAGUAUAACCAAUAACACUGAAUACUCUGCAGUGUAGAAUAUGACACAAUUGAAAUGAGGCAAGUAUAGCAAAUAAAGAAAAACAAACAAAAAUCAAACAUUUGCCAAAAACAUUUAUAGUUUGUUGGAACAACUACACAUCACAAAAUUAAACAUGUUCAAAUCCAAAAAUUAUCAAUUGACAUGAGAAUAGGUCCAAAUACUCAAAAGUUUAUCAAUGUUCAAAAUAACAUAAAAAUAACCGACUAAGUAGAUGAUAAACAUAGUAACCAUCCAUAAGUUAACUAGUCCAAAAUAUCUAGACAAAUAGGUAAAGAACCGUUUUCCUAGCAUAUAAAGUCAUCGAAACGACAACCAUCACUACUAAAGAAGCUACUAUCAUUCUCUAAAGCAAAUAUUGAGGCAUGUUACUCAUAUUAAACUGAGCUUCUUCCACACAUAACUUUUCCUCGCACUCAUGGGCAAUGAAAAGAAGUACUUCGAAGUAUAGGGAUCAUGUGCAAUGAUCUCUCCUACUUCAACCAUCUAUGACUCAUCUAGACCCAAAUCCUUAAUAGCAAGUAAUCCUUCAUAAACUUUUUGCUAAAACUCACUGCAAGCAGAGAGGUUCUUGAAGUAACUUGCUACGUCUCGAAUGCCUUACUCCUACCCUCGCACAAAGUGCCAAUAUUGUUUACCGACUCAAUUAAAGAGCCUAUGAGAGCUUCCUCCGUAUUAGCUUUCCUCUUUCUAGAGGUAGAUUGGUUUUGGACUGAAGAGUUGCUCUGAUCUUGUAUAUUGUUGACCGGUGGUUGGGGUGCUGGGCUAUCACUCUCAAAGCCUUCAUGACUUCCAAACUAGACCUCCUCAUUGAGGUUGAUAGUAUCCACGAGAAUGUCAGCAGCCGCAUCUGUAGGAUUUUCGAUCUUCUGACCUGUUGCUCGAUCUUUUUCAAAUACGAUCGAAAGACUUUUCCAAUGAGAAAAUGGCUUGUUCCG
rnacentral:lncRNA from 1 species